rnacentral:snRNA from 1 species
AGAGGAUUUUUUUCGCCCACUAU